rnacentral:rRNA from 1 species
GCGUAAAGGGCGCGUAGGCGGAUUAGUAAGUAAAAGUGAAAUCCCAAGGCUCACCCUUGGAAUUGCUUUAAAACUGCUAAUCUAGAGAUUGAAAGAGGAUAGAGGAAUUCCUAGUGUAGAGGUGAAAUUCGUAAAUAUUAGGAGGAACACCAGUGGCGAAGGCGUCUAUCUGGUUCAAAUCUGACGCUGAGGCGCGAAGGCGUGGGGAGCAAACAGGAUUAGAUACCCUGGUAGUCCACGCUGUAAACGAUGAAUGUUAAAUAUGGGAAGUUUUGCUUUCUGUAUUACAGCUAACGCGUUAAACAUUCCGCCUGGGGACUACGGUCGCAAGAUUAAAACUCAAAGGAAUUGACGGGGACCCGCACAAGCGGUGGAGCAUGUGGUUUAAUUCGAUGCAACGCGAAAAACCUUACCACUCCUUGACAUGGAAAUUAUACCUAUUCGAAGGGAUAGGGUCGGUUCGGCCGGGUUUCACACAGGUGUUGCAUGGCUGUCGUCAGCUCGUGUCGUGAGAUGUUGGGUUAAGUCCCGCAACGAGCGCAACCCUCAUCCUUAGUUACCAUCAGGUAAUGCUGGGGACUUUAAGGAAACUGCCAGUGAUAAACUGGAGGAAGGUGGGGAUGAUGUCAAGUCAUCAUGGCCCUUAUGGAGUGGGCUACACACGUGCUACAAUGGUGGCUACAAUGGGCUGCAAAGUCGCGAGGCUAAGCUAAUCCCUUAAAAGCCAUCUCAGUUCGGAUUGUACUCUGCAACUCGAGUGCAUGAAGUUGGAAUCGCUAGUAAUCGUGGAUCAGCACGCCACGGUGAAUACGUUCUCGGGUCUUGUACACACUGCCCGUCACGCCAUGGGAAUUGGUUUCACUCGAAGCUAACGACCUAACCGCAAGGAGGGAGUUAUUUAAAGUGGGAUCGGUGACUGGGGUGAAGUCGUAACAAGGUAGCAGUAGGGGAAUCUGCGGCUGGAUCA